rnacentral:lncRNA from 1 species
GCACAUCCAUCUUGACCAACACCACCAAAACCAGAUACUAAACAUAUAAAAGUAUAAGCAACAAUGCUAUUUUCAAAAAACAACAACAAAAAAAUAAUAAAAAUCAAUCAAACCCGUGAUUUACAUAUUAGAAGGUGCUUUGGGCGUGCCAUCUCCAAUAACUACAAGAUCAUUUCCAACUUGGCCACUUUCAAACUUGUCAUAAUCAUUAUGCAUCUCACGAAAGUCAGGAUCAUUAUGCUGUUGCUUAUGGUGAAAAUGAGAAACUAACAAUUUUAGUAUUAUGUAUAUUAUAAGCAUAUAUUUUCAACAAUAUACUAUAGCAUUAAAUUAUAUAAAAGAUGAAUACCGCAGAAUUUCCCUCUCGUUUCAUUGAUUGCCUACCAAUAGCUGCAAGCACCUCCUCAAACUUGUUCUCUACAAAAAGCUUCAAAGCUUUUAACUCCUUCAUUGCCUCAGCAUUAGUAGGUUGGGAAUCACCUCCAGUACUUUCAUACAUACUUUGUGUUUUUGGUAAUUGAGUGCCAAAAACCUGAAAGCUAUCGGUAGGUUGGGAAUCAACUCCAGUACUUUCAGGCAUACUUUGUGUUUUUGGUAAUUGAGUGCCAAAAACGUAAAAGCUAUCGGGCUGACUGUCACUGCACUCAGCUUCAAUUUCAAAGCUUAGACAACGCACAUCACAU